GACGAACGCUGGCGGCGUGCUUAACACGUGCAAGUCGAACGGGAUCCACUGGGCUUUUGUUUGGUGGUGAGAGUGGCGAACGGGUGAGUAAUGCGUGACUAACCUGCCGUAUGGUUGGGGAUAGCUCCUGGAAACGGGUGGUAAUACCCAAUGCUCCAGCCGGAUGCAUGUCGGGUUGGGAAAGCUUCUGUGCCAUUUGAUGGGGUCGCGUCCUAUCAGCUUGUUGGUGGGGUGAUGGCCUACCAAGGCGUCGACGGGUAGCCGGCCUAAGAGGGCGACCGGCCACAUUGGGACUGAGAUACGGCCCAGACUCCUACGGGAGGCAGCAGUGGGGAAUAUUGCACAAUGGGCGCAAGCCUGAUGCAGCGACGCCGCUUGCGGGAUGGAGGCCUUCGGGUUGUAAACCGCUUUUAUAGGGGGGCAAGCUA
rnacentral:rRNA from 1 species